CGGUGGUCAUGGCCCAGGGGUGACGCCCGGUUUACUUUCCGAACCCGGUAGCUAAGGCCUGGCGCGGUGAUGGUACUGCACUCGAUAGGGUGCGGGAGAGUAGCACGCCGCCGCAAUU
rnacentral:rRNA from 1 species